rnacentral:lncRNA from 1 species
AAAUAAGAGAAUUAACUCACCCGUAUUUUGCCCUUAUGGUUUUGUUGCUUCAUAGAAGAAAAGCCUUGUGGCUCUACAAAGAUGCUGGUUCCUUUGGCAGAGGGAGUAGCAAGCAUGUUGCUCAGCCAUUCAACACUCUUCAGGUGUUCUAAAAACCCUCUUUGUGGUAGAAGGGCAUGGCACUCCAAAGGCAUCACCCACAGUGGGGUACAGCAGUGGUGCAGAAGAGCCAUCCCUCCUGAGGAGGCCCAGAGAGACUCUUUGUCUCUACUGUCCCCUUUCCUCCAUCUCCAGGCCAUAGCCACAGCAUCUGCCUUCUUCAGAUGCUGGUCUCUGCUGCCCAUGUUUGUCCAUGAAAAGACAGAGAUCAUCAUCUGCUGCUACCUGAAACCCAAUGGUAAUGAGAUGGUGACAAACUCAGAAGCUGCUAAGCAUGUGAGCUUUCUCAUAAUGCAAGAUGGGAAGAAAUCUGAAAUGGAAAAGUUUCUGAGGACAGUGUUUAGGAUCCUGUAAAUGUCCAAACUGACUGGUGUGGGUAUGCUGAGGUACCUGAUGCAUUCUGCAAGAGGAUUUGGGUCCAGUCUUCAAGCCUGUAUAUCCCAGCUUUCAAGCCUUCAUUUUCAACUGUGUGAGUUCCAUCAUUUGCAAAAUGAAGCUUUCUUUAAAUAAAAAUUAUCUACCUCCAUUUCCCCCUCACAUCUAGCCUCCUGUAGAUAAAAACGUAGUUGCACUGGGAAAAUUUAAAGUUGACUGUGACCAUAAUGCUUUUUUCUCACAACUGAAAUCCUUAUUUAAG